CGCGCUUAGGAUGCUGGCAUAAUGGCUUUAAACGACCCGUCCUGAAACACGGACCAAGGAGUCUAACAUACCUGCGAGUGUUCGGGUGGUAAACCCGAGCGCGUAAUGAAAGUGAAAGUUGAGACCUCUGUCGUGGAGGGCAUCGACGCCCGGACCUGACGUUCUCUGACGGCUCCGCGGUAGAGCAUGUAUGUUGGGACCCGAAAGAUGGUGAACUAUGCCUGAAUAGGGUGAAGCCAGAGGAAACUCUGGUGGAGGCUCGUAGCGAUUCUGACGUGCAAAUCGAUCGUCAAAUUUGGGUAUAGGGG
rnacentral:rRNA from 1 species